CUCCCUCGUUACUGACCUCAGGUUCGAUAGUGCCAACAUGGCACCACCUCGCCUAAAACCAACUUCGAUGAAGCGACGGGCGGUGUGUGCAAGGAG
rnacentral:rRNA from 1 species